UGAGUACGAGAUGCUACGGCAUCGAAGCAGUCUAUGUCAUACUUCCAAGAAAAGCUUGCACUGUCAGAAACAGAUAAUGCCUGUACCAUAACCGACACAGGUGGGUAGGUAGAGUAUACUAAGGGGCGCGAGAUAACUCUCUCUAAGGAACUCGGCAAAAUGACUCCGUAACUUCGGGAGAAGGAGUGCCUUAUUUUUAAGGUUGCAAUAACAAGAUCCAAGCAACUGUUUACCAAAAACACAGGUCUCCGCUAAGUCGUAAGACGAUGUAUGGGGGCUGACGCCUGCCCAGUGCCAGAAGGUUAAAGAAGUCGGUUAGCAUUCGCGAAGCUGGUAACUGAAGCCCUGGUGAACGGCGGCCGUAACAAUAACGGUCCUAAGGUAGCGAAAUUCCUUGUCGGGUAAGUUCCGACCCGCACGAAAGGCGUAAUGAUUUGGAUACUGUCUCGGAGAGGGGCUCGGUGAAAUAGACUUGUCUGUGAAGAUGCGGACUACCUGCACCUGGACAGAAAGACCCUAUGAAGCUUUACUGUAACUUGAAAUUGAAAUUGGACUUUAUUUGCGCAGUAUAGGUGGGAGGCGUUGAAAAUAUUCUUGCGGGAAUAUUGGAGCCAUCAGUGAGAUACCACUCUUGUAAUGUUAGAUUUCUAACUUUAUAUCAUUAUCUGGUUAAAGAACAGUUUCAGGCGGGCAGUUUGACUGGGGCGGUCGCCUCCCAAAUGGUAACGGAGGCGCACAAAGGUUUCCUCUGAACGGGUAGAAAUCGUAUCUAGAGUGUAAAGGCAUAAGGAAGCUUGACUGUGAGACCUACAAGUCGAGCAGGGACGAAAGUCGGUCUUAGUGAUCUGACGGUGCUGAGUGGAAAGGCCGUCACUCAACGGAUAAAAGUUACUCUAAGGAUAACAGGCUGAUCUCCCCCAAGAGUUCACAUCGACGGGGAGGUUUGGCACCUCGAUGUCGGCUCAUCGCAUCCUGGGGCGGUAGUACGUCCCAAGGGUUGGGCUGUUCGCCCAUGAAAGCGGUACGCGAGCUGGGUUCAGAACGUCGUGAGACAGUUCGGUCCAUAUCCGGUGUAGGCGUUAGAAUAUUGAGAGGAGCCUUCUUUAGUACGAGAGGACCGAGAAGGACAUACCUCUGGUGUACCAGUUAUCGUGCCAACGGUAAACGCUGGGUAGCUAUGUAUGGAGUGGAUAACCGCUGAAAGCAUCUAAGUGGGAAGCCCACCUCAAGAUAAG
rnacentral:rRNA from 1 species